rnacentral:rRNA from 1 species
CCUACGGGAGGCAGCAGUGAGGAAUAUUGGUCAAUGGACGAGAGUCUGAACCAGCCAAGUAGCGUGAAGGAUGACUGCCCUAUGGGUUGUAAACUUCUUUUAUAAAGGAAUAAAACGAGGCACGUGUGCCUUUUUGCAUGUACUUUAUGAAUAAGGAUCGGCUAACUACGUGCCAGCAGCCGCGGUAAUACGGAGGAUCCGAGCGUUAUCCGGAUUUAUUGGGUUGAAAGGGAGCGUAGAUGGGUUGUUAAGUCAGUUGUGAAAGUUUGCGGCUCAACCGUAAAAUUGCAAUUGAUACUGGUAGUCUUGAGUACAGUUGAGGUAGGCGGAAUUCGUGGUGUAGCGGUGAAAUGCUUAGAUAUCACGAAGAACCCCGAUUGCGAAGGCAGCUUACUAAACUGUGACUGACAUUGAUGCUCGAAAGUGUGGGUAUCAAACAGGAUUAGAUACCCGUGUAGUC